GGGGACCGGGCCGAGACCCAGCCCGGACCGAGCAACAGGUUGGCGAAACCCUGUGUCCUUGGAGGAAGCUGGUUCCUGUUUUCCUGAGGGAGUAGCCCGGAGUGCGGAAGGAAGCCAAGAGUGUACAGAGUUGAUGGUGGGAACGCGGGCAGAGGAAGCCCCUCGGGAAGUCCAGCUGCAGAGAUAGCCACCCCAGUGCUAUUUACAUAGAGCUAUAUAUAUACAAAACAGGAGAAAAAUACAAAAUUCCGUAUCUGUGCAUGCCUGCGGGGGACGUGGUCCCUUUCCUUUCCACGCAACCUUGCGAUGUGAACUCUGAGACUUUGUGAUGUCUAGGGUGGCAGGGGAGAGAGAUGCUUGCUGCGGCGCGUGCAGGGAACUUACGUGGACCUGUGGGAUCGGCCUCAGUGUGGACCAACUGCUCAGCACAGAUGCUGGUGUGGAGUAGAGGGGACUCAGCGGCCGAAGGCAAGAUGGACAAGACAGAGGGGACGUGGGGCCCGUUUUGUUGGGGGCAGCCUGGGAUCCCUUCAUUUCUUGACAUGUCCUAGCCUCUCAGUGUCCCCGUUGAGUCAGCUCUCCAGAUCUCAUGGCGGUCAUAGCCAGAGAAACGGGAUGUCGUUUUCUUUCCCUACCUACAAGUGUGUCUGGUGCUUCUCUUCACAGUUUCUUGGUGCUAAGUGUAUCCUUCUUGGUACAGACAGAGUCUUACAGACAGACCGGGAAGGCCAGGGGAUGAGACGUUUCUAUUUUGCUCUUUGGAUAGACUCUCGUUUCUUUUUUUAAAAAGGGCCAGGUGACAAGAUUGCCACUGGAAAGUCUCUCUCUGGGGGGAGGGGUGGUGCUCACAGGGCUUAAGAGCAGCCCCUCCCCCAGGGGGCAGGGCUACGAAGGGGAGGGGCGGGCCUUAUACAGGAGCUGCUUUGGAGGUGGCAGUCCCUCCUCUCCCUGCAGCAGCACUCUGGGAGACUGCUGUGGACUCCUCCAAUUUAUAAGGGGAUUCAGGGCUUAGGUUUUUGUAGAUUCAAGAGCCAAGAAAUAGCUGCGUUCUGACCGAGCGUGAUUUCUAAGCAGGGGAUGUGGGGGAAGGGGGGCGGACCGUUUAAAUGAAAUGUCCGAUUUCCCCUGCUCCCCAAACACACGGAAUAAGCUACUGUUUUCAGAAGUUUCUAGAAGGGCUAAUAUAAAUAUAAAUAUAUAUACACAAAUAUAACGAAGCUGAGUGCUAGACUGACAUUUGGCUGCAGUGGUUCACGGCUUCAGGACUGGUGGCUUUUUUUUUUUAAAGGAACAGGUAUUACUCCUCUGCAUGGAUACUGUAUCACACCCCCCCCCCCACUGAGGUCUUUGUAGCCGAGAUGGUGAGGGAUGCUUGCUGUGGGCUCAGUGAGACAGUUACUCUUGUUUUUAUUUUAUCUUUUUUUUUUUUUCCUUUCUAAUUUUGGAGACAAGGCCUCACCCUGGAGCCCAGGCUGACCUCAGCUCAUGAGCCUCCCGGCCCUGUAUCUGGCAUUUGGGACUCUGGCUACCAGGGGAGCGUCAUUUUCUCCUGGCUGGAUUUGCAGGUGAUUUGCCUGGUACCUGGGGGAUCAGGGUUUCUGCUAGAAAGCAUCAGUUGUUCAGGUGCACAGGGCUUCAAGGGAACCGGUCCCUGGCCAACGUUGCUGAGUGGGACCAGUAAAAUGCACCCUUUCCCAGUUUGCAGUCAACAGGCUCCUCUCUCCAUAUUAAAUCCAUGCCUUAUAUUUCUCUGAAUAACCCACUUUAAAAAAAAAAAAAAAAAAAAAACCGCAACCGGGAACUCAAUGCUGAAGCCUCCCCCUUUUAUCUGCCAGAACCGAAAUCAGCAAAGAAAACUAAAUAAAAGGAGAGAGUCUGUCUGGCAGGGGAAGCAGCAGGCAGCAGGCCAUGCCCUCGCCCAGCCAGAAUUACACAGAAUGAUCUGGAAGACACCCUCUGCUUGUGUUGAGUCCCUUUCCCAGCAAGGAAACAAGUCCUUGCAAGCAUCACAUUUCAACACAGUGGGACUCUGUGGUGUCAGCCUCUUUAAAGACACACGGUCCAGAUCACAGCGGGGGGCAUGCUGACCCUGGAGAGACCCAGUGCAAAGGGUGAGGGGUGAGAGAAAACCUCUCUUUCUGUGUUUUGCUUUCUGAGCCUGGCUUUGCCUGUUAGCUAGUGAUAGCUCCCUGGAGGAUUUGAACUCCAAACACAGGGGUUAGCCUCUCUGGUCAUUUUCAUUUCAAUGAAGCUGUUUUGCCGAGAGAGCCGGGCACCCUGUGACCUUCCCAAUGGAACUUCUCAGCCAAGUCCUCUGUAAAUACUCUCCCGUAGUAAUGGAAACCACGUAUUUGUCGAAUCUGGGCCUUGGCUCGCACGCUGUUCGUUUGAGUGUGCUUCUCCUGCCCCGGGUUUGAUGGGGUUGUUUUUUAAAUGCCUGUUUUUUCUAUGAGAUCUGACUUCUUGAUGGACAUUUGUAUUAGAAUAUUGAAGCAUGCUGGCUGUGUCACUGUUGUCUCACUGUCUCUGCCGUGGUGUUACUUGGACUGCAUGAGAUAAUGGGACAGCCUUUCUGUUAUUGGUGUUAUUGAAAAAAAAAAAAAAAAAAAACCCAACUUCCACAGUGUGUGAAGCUCUGGCACGAUCUCCCUCUCUUUAUCCUGCUCUCCCUGGCUGCCAAGGAGCAUUGAUUUUGAUUCGCUUCUAUGUGGAGUCUGUGAAGAGGGAGAGAGGCUUUGAAAUAAAUUUUAAAAGGACCUCAUACUGGGUUUCAGCAGACAGCAGUGGGUAUGUGUGUGUGUUCGUGUGUGAGUGCGUGUGCAUCCAUCCGCCUCGAGGCCUCUGAGAUCAUUGCUAAGGAGCUGGUUGUGUGAGGAGCUGAGGUGCCACCCGGGUCUAAAAGCUGCUGGCUGCUCUCUGAGGGUGAGUCCUGGGGGUCUGUGGGACUGAAGCCUUCUAGAGUAGGUCCACUCCCUUCUGGAAGCUUCUCUCCCUCACUUCAUCCCCCACAAGCAAGAGCUCUGCCCACAUUUGGGGUUCGAUUUCCCUUUGUCUAGAUGGGGUUUGAGCCAGAGUUCUUUUGGAGAGCCCAGGAAGGACUGUGCCCACUGUCCACGGUCCUGGGCUGGGAGGGCAUGCCCCCCACAUUCCCCGUCCCUCUCCACACCCCAUUUACAGUUACCCUGGAGACUGCCUCCCCACUUCUGUGAUAGCCUUGUUCUGUUUCCUUUCUACCUUGAUGGGGGAUGCUGACUGAAGCCUAGUGUCACAGGAUAACGAGGCCCUGAAUGGCCUGAUGAUACUCUUUAGAUCUGAGCUCAUGUCCUGUAUGCCACCUGACUGUACUGUCAUGUUUCUGAAAUUGACAAAGUGUCAUUCUUGCUCACUGAGAACUGGGGGAGGGGGCAGGUCCUCGCAUGAGCUCCCCGGGUAUCUCUGGGAGACCCUGGGUCACUAUUGGGGACGGCUCGUUUUUGUUAUUACUAUUAUUGUUUUCUGAGACACGGAGCCAGGCUGGCCUUGAACUCACUAUACAGCAGAGGAUAACCCUGAACUCCUCAUCCUCCUGCCUCCACCUCCUGAUUACUGGCUUUUGUUGUGGACUUUUUGGAUGUCCACCGUGGACUGUUAGAACACAAGUCUCUCCCGGGUUCAUGCUGUUUUCUUUUCUGAGCCUGAAGUCAACUUGGGGAGAGCAGGGGGUCAGAAGGUGCUGGGGAUUUGGGGAGAGGGGCCGCAGGCUAUUUCCACAGGAGCUGGUCCGAAGCCCCACCAAGAGGGAAAGGAGACAUCACAGCAUCUCUUGAAAGCUUUAGCCAAAAGUUUAUCUUUUUGACGUUUUAAUGUAUUCACUCGAUGCUUAUUUAUUGAACAUCUACCGUGUACCAGCUGAAGACCUCCACGUCUGAGCAAACUGACUUAGUUAUGGUACAGCAACAGUCCUUUUUGGAGACCAGAUGCCGUGAAAUGUCCCUUUCCAGUCUGGCUCAUAAUUUAGAACAGAUCUGCCGGGUCACCAUUGUGACCCCAAGCCUUGCUGGCAGAUUGCUAUAUAGUAUUUUCUGCAUGCCACUCUCUGGGCUGAAUGCAAUUAAAAAUUUUGCUACGUUGUCUCCUUCUCCACUGAGAGGAUUGGUCCCUUUUGUACAAUAAUCAAAGACACCCCCCCCCCCGCCACACACACACAGGAGCACGGCCACUGAACACUGCAGGAGGCGCUUCCCAAGGCUUCCCCUGAGAGAGCCCCAUCCUACUGGUUAGUACCACUGAUCCCAUUUUACAGGCGAGGAAGCUGAGGGCACCCAAAUGGCAAACUAAGGGUUGCAUUCGAGUCCGUCCCCCCCCCCAAGCCAAUGUGGUGUCUGCUCUGGUGUCACCCAUUUAAAAGCAAGCAUUAUGGGUGAAGGCAAGGUAUUCUAGCUCAAAGGCAGACAUUGCUAGUCUAAGGGCAGGGACAAACCUGUGGCCCAGCAGGGAGUGUCUACUUCAGCUGAAAAGAAAGCAAGCCUUACUUGGGGACACUUGAGAGCAGAAGGCUGUCUCCAGUUUGAAAAACCUCCAGGGUCAGGGGUAUCUAAUGUGCAAACGGACUGUCCCAACCACUCUGGAGGCCCUGGGGAGUCUCCCACCCCUCUCUCCUCUAUCUCCUCUCCCAACCCUGGAUCCCCAAGGUCUUUGCACUGGAAGAGUCAAGGAGCCGGUAUGGAUGGCAGAGGUGGCUGUGAGGGCAUUUGGAGACUGGGGGAGAGGCAGUAACUUGGGGGGACAUUCUGUCUGGGUCCUGACCUUGUUGCCUUGUGCUCUUUUGUAAGGGGUGGGGAGCUCCCUACCUGGAUGCUUUGUACAUAUUUGUUACACUUUUAUUAAAAAAUUGACCGUGCACCUCUAA